CUGCUGCCUCCCGUAGGAGUUUGGGCCGUGUCUCAGUCCCAAUGUGGCCGUCCGCCCUCUCAGGCCGGCUACCGAUCGUCGCUUUGGUGGGCCGUUACCCCGCCAACUGGCUAAUCGGGCGCGGGCCCAUCCCGUGCCGCCGGAGCUUUCCGCAUACACCCAUGCGGCUGUAUGCGCUUAUGCGGUAUUAGCGCCUGUUUCCAGGCGGUAUCCCCCGGCACGGGGCAGGUUGCCCACGCGUUACUCACCCGUCCGCCACUAAGUA
rnacentral:rRNA from 1 species